AUCUAUACUAUGCCCUCAGCUUAAAAGAAAAGCGUUUUUAUAUUUCAGUUUGUGUUACUCCUUCGUAGUUAGACCUUCCUAAAAUUUUUAAUAACAUCUUUGCUUUAUAGCUUGCGAGCCUGAUAACAGGCAAUUUAUAUAUUUCAAUUUUUAGGUAAUAAUUAUGUCUACAACUACUGGUACAGUAAAAUGGUUUAACGAAACUAAAGGUUUUGGUUUUAUCGAGCAAGAAAAUGGUCCAGACCUUUUCGCACAUUUCAGCGCAAUCCAAAGCUCAGGUUUCAAAACUUUAGCUGAAGGUCAAAAAGUACAGUUUACUGUUGCUCAAGGCCAAAAAGGUCCUCAAGCUGAAAAUAUCGUUUGUAUCUAAUUUACAAAAGAUAGCUUGAAUAAAUCACCUAGUUCUCUAGGUGAUUUAUAA
rnacentral:sRNA from 1 species